AAUAGAUACCCGGGUAGUCCACGCCGUAAACGAUGAGUGCUAAGUGUUAGAGGGUUUCCGCCCUUUAGUGCUGCAGCUAAACGCAUUAAGCACUCCGCCUGGGGAGUACGGUCGCAAGACUGAAACUCAAAGGAAUUGACGGGGGCCCGCACAAGCGGUGGAGCAUGUGGUUUAAUUCGAAGCAACGCGAAGAACCUUACCAGGUCUUGACAUCCUCUGACAACUCUAGAGAUAGAGCGUUCCCCUUCGGGGGACAGAGUGACAGGUGGUGCAUGGUUGUCGUCAGCUCGUGUCGUGAGAUGUUGGGUUAAGUCCCGCAACGAGCGCAACCCUUGAUCUUAGUUGCCAGCAUUUAGUUGGGCACUCUAAGGUGACUGCCGGUGACAAACCGGAGGAAGGUGGGGAUGACGUCAAAUCAUCAUGCCCCUUAUGACCUGGGCUACACACGUGCUACAAUGGAUGGUACAAAGGGCUGCAAGACCGCGAGGUCAAGCCAAUCCCAUAAAACCAUUCUCAGUUCGGAUUGU
rnacentral:rRNA from 1 species